rnacentral:rRNA from 1 species
UACGUAGGGUGCAAGCGUUGUCCGGAAUUAUUGGGCGUAAAGAGCUCGUAGGCGGUCUGUCGCGUCUGCUGUGAAAACUCAGGGCUUAACCCUGAGCUUGCAGUGGGUACGGGCAGACUAGAGUGCGGUAGGGGAGACUGGAAUUCCUGGUGUAGCGGUGAAAUGCGCAGAUAUCAGGAGGAACACCGGUGGCCGAAGGCGGGUCUCUGGGCCGUAACUGACGCUGGAGGAG